rnacentral:rRNA from 1 species
ACGUACGACCAUACCUAGCGGAAAAUACGGGAUCCCGUCCGCUCUCCCAUCGUCAAAUCGCUGAGGGCCGGAUUAGUAGUUGGGUCGGUGACGACCAGCGAAUACCCGGUGUUGUACGUU